CUGAAGGUGGAGGCCACGCCCCCAGGGAUCUUCCACUUUGGACCAGUCCACUGAUACUACAUGUGUAGUGACCUGCCUGUUUAAUGACUGUUCUGACUUAUGAUCUGCCGCUCCCACUUACGACUGCAUGUGGACUUACAGCGUAGAAGCAUGAGCAGCCGUGUGGCCUCAUGGUGGCUUCUGCUUUGAUUCUGUGUACGAGACUUCACAGAUUCCUGGAAGUCUGAACUUCUUGCUCUGCUCUACUUUUGAAAACAUCCCACAGUCAGGAAGAAAAUGUCAGGUGCAGGAUCCAGAGAAAGCCAUCUGUCCGUGUGUGUGACACCAGUGAGCAGACCCUGUGUUUCGGGAUGGGAGAGGGUCCAGACUACUGUCCCAGCUACUGGCUUUUGACAUGAGCUGCUUGAAGUUUUCUUCCUCCAGAAAGUCUUCAAGAUUCCGGAGGGUUAAGCUGGGAAGGGUCCCUCAUCCUCAGCUGUGAUCCCACAAGAUAGAGCAGGCUGGUUCUUCUCUGUUGAUCCAUCACUAAAAUGUA